AGCAGCCGCGGUAAUUCCAGCUCCAAUAGCGUAUAUUAAAGUUGUUGUGGUUAAAAAGCUCGUAGUUGAACCUUGGGCCUGGCUGGCCGGUCCGCCUCACCGCGUGUACUGGUCCGGCCGGGCCUUUCCCUCUGUGGAACCCCAUGCCCUUCACUGGGUGUGGCGGGGAAACAGGACUUUUACUUUGAAAAAAUUAGAGUGCUCCGGGCAGGCCUAUGCUCGAAUACAUUAGCAUGGAAUAAUAGAAUAGGACGUGUGGUUCUAUUUUGUUGGUUUCUAGGACCGCCGUAAUGAUUAAUAGGGACAGUCGGGGGCAUCAGUAUUCAAUUGUCAGAGGUGAAAUUCUUGGAUUUAUUGAAGACUAACUACUGCGAAAGCAUUUGCCAAGGAUGUUUUCAUUAAUCAGGAACGAAAGUUAGGGGAUCGAAGACGAUCAGAUACCGUCGUAGUCUUAACCAUAAACUAUGCCGACUAGGGAUCGGACGAUGUUAUUUUUGAC
rnacentral:rRNA from 1 species